rnacentral:rRNA from 1 species
ACUCAAAGGAAUAGACGGGGACCCGCACAAGCGGUGGAGUAUGUGGUUUAAUUCGACGCAACACGAAAAACCUUACCUGGGCUCGAACGACUGGAAGUAAGUCUCCUGAAAGGGAGAACGACCUGUAAAGUCAGGAACCAGCCGAGGUGCUGCAUGGUUGUCGUCAGCUCGUGUCGUGAGAUGUUGGGUUAAGUCCCGCAACGAGCGCAACCCUCAUCUCCUGUUGCCACCCGAAAGGGGGCACUCUGGAGAAACUGCCCACGAUGAGUGGGAGGAAGGUGAGGAUGACGUCAAAUCACCAUGGCCCUUAUGUCCAGGGCUACACACGUACUACAAUGGCCAUUACAACGGGAUGCAAUGGAGCAAUCCGGAGCCAAUCCUUUAAAAAUGGCCCCAGUUCAGAUUGUGGGCUGCAACUCGCCCACAUGAAGGUGGAAUCGCUAGUAAUCGCGAAUCAGAAGGUCGCGGUGAAUACGUUCCCGGGUCUUGUACACACCGCCCGU